UACGUAGGGUGCAAGCGUUGUCCGGAAUUACUGGGCGUAAAGGGCUCGUAGGUGGCCAACUAAGUCAGACGUGAAAUCCCUCGGCUUAACCGGGGAACUGCGUCUGAUACUGGAUGGCUUGAGUUCGGGAGAGGGAUGCGGAAUUCCAGGUGUAGCGGUGAAAUGCGUAGAUAUCUGGAGGAACACCGGUGGCGAAGGCGGCAUCCUGGACCGACACUGACGCUGAGGAGCGAAAGCCAGGGGAGCAAAGCGGG
rnacentral:rRNA from 1 species